UAAUACAGAGGAGCCAAGCGUUGUCCGGAUUGACUGGGCGUAAAGCGCACGCAGGCGGCUGCGCGCGUGGGGUGUGAAAUCUGGCCGCUUAACGGCCAGGCGCCAUCCCAUACGGCGCGGCUUGAGCCUUGUAGAGGGCGGUGGAAUUGCCGGUGUAGUGGUGAAAUGCGUAGAGAUCGGCAGGAACACCCAGGGGGAAACCAGCCGCCUGGACAAGCGCUGACGCUGAGGUGCGAGAGCGUGGGGAGCGAACCGGAUUAGAUACCCGGGUAGUCCACGCUGUAAACGAUGGCCACUCGGCCUUUGGUGGCGGAAUCUCCGUCGCUGGGGGCCUUAGCUAACGCGGGAAGUGGCCCGCCUGGGAACUACGAGCGCAAGCUUA
rnacentral:rRNA from 1 species